UGGGGAAUAUUGCACAAUGGGCGCAAGCCUGAUGCAGCCAUGCCGCGUGUAUGAAGAAGGCCUUCGGGUUGUAAAGUACUUUCAGUCGGGAGGAAGGUGUCAAGGUUAAUAACCUUGGCAAUUGACGUUACCGACAGAAGAAGCACCGGCUAACUCCGUGCCAGCAGCCGCGGUAAUACGGAGGGUGCAAGCGUUAAUCGGAAUUACUGGGCGUAAAGCGCACGCAGGCGGUUGAUUGAGUCAGAUGUGAAAUCCCCGGGCUUAACCCGGGAAUUGCAUCUGAUACUGGUCAGCUAGAGUCUUGUAGAGGGGGGUAGAAUUCCAUGUGUAGCGGUGAAAUGCGUAGAGAUGUGGAGGAAUCCCGGUGGCGAAGACGGCCCCCUGGACAAAGACUGACGCUCAGGUGCGAAAGCGUGGGGAGCAAACAGG
rnacentral:rRNA from 1 species